rnacentral:rRNA from 1 species
UACAGAGGUGGCAAGCGUUGUUCGGAAUUACUGGGCGUAAAGGGCGCGUAGGCGGCACUGUUAGUCAGGCGUGAAAUUCCUGGGCUCAACCUGGGGACUGCGCUUGAUACGGCAGAGCUUGAGGAUGGAAGAGGGUCGCGGAAUUCCCAGUGUAGAGGUGAAGUUCGUAGAUAUUGGGAAGAACACCGGUGGCGAAGGCGGCGACCUGGUCCAUAACUGACGCUGAGGCGCGACAGCGUGGGGAGCAAACAGG